rnacentral:tRNA from 1 species
GGGGAUGUGGCUCAGUGGUAGAGCGCCCGCUUUGCACCGUGCAACAUGCGGGAGGCCCAGGUUUCGAUCACCUGCUUCUCCA